GGUGGCUCCGUGGCAGAGCACUUGUCUUGCAUGCAUGAGGCCCUGGGUUCGAUUCCCCAGCACCA
rnacentral:tRNA from 1 species